GUCAUUUAUCAGUGGAUGAAAUUGCAUUUGUAUUUUAUUCCACUUUCGUUUGUGCUGCUCGCGAUUUUUCUUUUUUCUUUGUGUUGUGAUUUUUUAAGUUAUCGUAUUGUUAUCAUUUUUUAUUUCGAAAUCUGGUAGGACUGUUGCGAAAAUAGGCAAAGCAGAAUGACAACAAAUUCCAAUUUCCAACUGUAAAAUGCAUAAGUGAUGAUUAGGAAGCAAAGAAGUGACUGAAAUAAUUUGACUUUUGUUCCUAUUUGAGCAUAUUUAAUUUUGUUCAGGUACGGUGACUAUUGUGAAAACGACAAGUAUUUUAAAGCUUUGUACGCGAUAUUACUACCAUAAAAAUAUUUUAUUUUCGUAAUUUUUACGUAAUUAACAUUACUAGAAACAAUUUAUUAUGCCUAAAAGUAAAAUUAGCACAAAUUUUGCUAAAGUGAAUAUUUGUCAUAAGUUAAGAGACUGUUGAAGCUGUUUCGGUGAUAGCAGAUCUGUAUUUCAAUUCCAACAAGUGCAUCGCCUACAUAACUACCCGUCUGCAAAAUAUACAAUAUUGUUGAUCUGCCUUUGUAAUCUCUACUAGCCACACCUCAACUUUCAAAAAGUAUAAUUUUAAAUUGCACAACAUGGUGGAUCGUCUAGUAAAUUCUGAAGCUAAUUCAAGGCGAAUUGCUAUGGUCGAAAGCUGCUUUGGCAGCUCUGGUGUACCUUUAGCAAUUCCAGGACGCGUGCUUGUUGGCGAAGGUGUCUUAACUAAGAUGUGUCGCAAGCGGCCAAAGUCUCGACAGUUUUUCCUUUUCAACGAUAUAUUGGUAUAUGGUAAUAUUGUAAUUGGAAAGAAAAAAUAUAACAAACAGCACAUUAUGCCAUUGGAAGAGGUAUCAUUGGAAUCUCUCGAGGAUAAUGGACAAUAUCGUAAUGGUUGGUUGAUACGUACCACAACAAAAUCGUUUGUUGUUUACGCCGCUACAAGUACUGAAAAACAAGAAUGGAUGGCACAUAUCAACAAGUGUGUGGAAGAUUUACUGCGAAAGAGCGGAAAAAAACCUGUGGAGAAUCAUGCUGCUGUUUGGGUACCAGACGCCGAAGCCACCCACUGUAUGAAUUGCAAGAAGACACAAUUUACGAUGAUAGUUCGACGUCAUCAUUGUCGCAACUGCGGAGCAGUUGUAUGCGGACCGUGCUCAUCUAAGAAAUUUUUACUGCCUCAACAAAGCUCCAAACCUGUACGUGUUUGUACCGCUUGUUAUGAACGUCUUUCUAAAGCGGUUAAAGCGGAAUCGUCCAAAACGAACCUUACAAAUGCUGGUGCAAAUUUAACAACACCAUCUUCCGCGAAUAUUGAUGGCAAUGGUAAUGGCACAGGAAAAUUGGUUGACAGUUCGGGUGAUGAUGAUUCGGAGGAAGAAGGCACUGGAGCAGCCAACGAAUUGCACGAUGAACCACGUUUCUACGGUGAUACAACAUUGUCGGCUGAUGAAUCUACGUCAUCUGCGGCGCUUAAUUCGAGUCACACACCUAGUGUUAAUAACUGAUGUGCGCAGUCUACAUUUUUAGAGGGCGGGUUAAUGGACGCAGGUGGUGACGAACGCGGGAAUAUAUACAGUCGAACUGUUACAAGAAGGAAAGGGUGUGACGAUAUGCAGCGAAAUAAAAAUAAACAAAAUUAUAAAAUUAAACAACGACAGCAAGAAGAAAAAAGUGAAGUAAAUCAACCAGAACAUCAACCAGACGAACGUGGAAAGAAGGUGUGGCAUUGCGUCUGGAAAAGAAAAGGAUUAACAAAGUUUUUUGAUCUUCAAAAGGGAGGAGGAAGAACGUAAGCGGCGUGAAGAACAACGCAUCAAGGAGUUGCGAAAGCUCACAACGUUCAAAGCACGACCAAAUCCUUUUAAAUAGACUCUUCUAAAACACCAAUAAUGCAUAAUAACAAAUAUGAUUUAAACACGCCACACAAUAGUACAUAGCAGCAUAAAAUCAAUUUAUACAGCAAUAAAAUGAAAACGAUGCAUACUUAAUUAACACUUUCAACAAAAUAAUAAGAACUAUAAAUAAUAUAAAAUAACGGAGAAUAUGUAUGAAAACACCAUUUUUAUAUGUGGAAAUGAAAUAACGUAACGUUUUAUUAUCAUUAUUAAUUACUACAAUUAUUAUAUUAGCCUUUUUUCUUACUUGUAAUAAUUUUUGGGAAUACA
rnacentral:misc_RNA from 1 species